AUGAUGCGGAGGACGUCCUCCGGCUGCCCCUCGCUCUCCAUGCAGAACAUCCGUUCCCAGGGUGGCCCGGGCCAGGCCUCGGGGGUGCAAGGGUUGGCCUGACCCCCCUGCUCCCGCCCCCGCCGCUCCGGGAAGAAAGGGCGCUGUGUCUGGCGGCGAGCAGGCGCCGGAAUCGUGCGCUCGGGCCCAGGGUUGCACGGAGCACUGGGCCCGGAUACCGGGGGCGCAAAGCUUCGGGUGCGGCCCAGGAGAACCCCGCCGAGGGACCCCAGCCUACCGGUUCUCGGAGGGGCGAAAGAGCCAGGUCAGGUUGAGGGACAGGAGGAGGAAGGGGUGUCCAGGAGACUGACUGAAGGAUGAGAGUGUCCUCCGGGGUAGCGACCGGCCUCUUGGAAAACCAGAGGCGGAGGGAGCAGCCGCGGAGUGGAGGGCGCAGGCCGGGACCUGGGCCUCUCCUCCCACAGCAAGCCCCCCACCCACGCAUCAUCUGCAGCCGAGCGGCACCUACCUCCCUCUCCCUACCUCAUCCCCGCUCGCGCUUCCGCAGGUCAGGCCACGCGGGUGCCAGCGCGGGCUGUGGGCGCCCCAGCCGCGGCCUUGGGGAGGGGUCAGGACUGAAGUUCACUCUCUCUCUGCGUGGUCUCGAAGCCCCUCGCCCACCCCGCACUGUCUCCUCCGCCGCCGGCUGCGCGCUUGGCGGAUCUUCUCCAUCAGUUCUGCCCACUGGAGUGGGAAGGGGCUGAGCCGAGCCGCGCGGGAAUUGGGAGGCGGGGAAGCGGGGAGGCGGGGGAAGAGACGAGAUGAAAUCGGCCCGGGACAGCAGAGAGGCUUGGGAUGGGAUGGAAGGGAAGAGGGGGUGGCGGUUGCGUUUUCCAGGGCUGUAGAGGUGGUGCGCCUAUUGGAACCGACUCCUCAGCCUCCUCCCCCGUCCCCACCUCGGGGACUGGCGGACCGUGCGCCCCGCAGGCUUAACACUCCCCCCGACACCCUCGCUCCGAGAAGGGGUGUUCUCAGUGGGCACCGACUAGGGCUCCAGAUCCCCCGAGACCCAGACCAGGGCUCCGGUAGUCUGUCCUCGCAGCUUCCAACUUUUCCGCUCCUUCGGAAAAGCGGGCAGUUCAGAGAUGGUUCCCAGGGCGGCAGCUGCAAGCCCCCCCGCGCCCCCCUCAAAGGUUCAGACUACACUCAAAGGCUCCGAAAGAAGCAAAACCACCAGCUCUACCCUCCUUCUGCGGCUUGCCUCACCCUUCCCACCCGCCUCGAAACCCACACACACGGGAAAGGGGUGCAUGGAGCCCGCUCCCCGGUUUACAGAAGCAGCCCGGAGCUACCGUCAUUUCAUCUUCACGCGGGGUCUCCAGCGCGCCUGGAUCGUUCCCUAGCCAAGCCAAGCCAGGUCUAAUCAAUCACGUGCGUUAUUUCGUGCAUCACCCAAGCCGUCAUCUUAUCCGAGGCCCGGAGAUGAAGGAGGGAAAAAAAAUCGCUUAAAUGCGACCCCAACCAAGCCGGUUUUCCCUUUUUCUUUCUGGUUAACAGCACCCCCCCAACCCCUCAAAAAAGCACCCCAGGCGGUGGUAGCUGACAGUUUUCUUAAAGAAUAAGGGGGGGGGGUGGGGGGGGAGAGAAAAAGAAAAGAAAAGCCUCCCAUGCCUCACAGUUUGCAGAAGUCUUCCUGCCUUCACCAUCUCCAGCCCUGGCCGCUUCUCUCCUUCUUCUCCCUGUACUGCAGAUACAUAUAUAUUUUUUUCCUCCUCUCCCCGCCACAGUCUUCUGUUUAUUUGUGUGGAAGGCAGCGCUACUUUGUAAACACAUCACACACGGCCCCAGAGCCGUUCAAAUAGCUGAUUGCAGCAAAACGCUUCCAAACAACGGUGGUCUGGAUUUUUCUCUUUAAGUGAAAAUAAAACCAAAUAUUUCUGUGGAGAGGUUGCAUGUAAAAACCGUAUGAAGGUCUACACUCCCACCCACACCUAAGAAAUGCAGCGAGACAGAUGGGAGAAAGUCCUGUCCAAAUUUUCCAAAAAUAAUAUUAAUAAUCAUAAAAGGAAAAAAUAAAGAUCAGAUGAAGUGAAGCUCAAGUAUCUGCAGUGAGGCUUUCCAUCCUUUGCUGCAAGUCAAAAUGUUUAAACGGCUUUUUAAAAUGAGAAUAAUGUCCCAGAGACAGGUCUUAAAACUGCACCUACCUUAGCUUUGGAAGAGCUGCAUCGGCCGUUAAGAGUUCUUUUUACACGUCCAGAUUUUUCUAGGGAACCCGAAACGAGGUAUGAUUCAGGAGGAUGUAUUGAAAGCCCAGGAGCCUUCCCCUUCUGGAACCCCCCAACUAGAUUUCCUCAUCCAGAGGAAUGCAAGAGCCACCAACACCGCCUAGUUUGGAGGAAAUUCGUUGUUUCUGCCGCCAAUAGUCUGUGGACGGGCAGAACAAGCAUUACAAUUGAAGCAGGAAGGGCCAAGCUAGUGGCUGAAUAAGAGCUCUGUGCUAAGAGACAGAGAAGGGAGAGAGACGGUUCUGCAAGAAAAAGAGAGAUUGAGGAGAGAGGUCCUGCUGUCUCCGGGGCUCUCCCUCUGCCAUUGGACCAAACUGAAUGAAAUUUACAAAGCCAGCAGCCAAUAGAUCUCCGGAGUCGGCCCCAUCACUACAGAAACCACAUCCACAGCUACAACCUCAUGCAAAGAGCUGCUAAUCCCAAUGCAAACCAGCUGUAACGGAGAGAUCCCGGGUACUCGGGAGAUAGAGCAGGUGGGCAUGGCAAACGGUGCCACCGCACCAGACGCGUACAGCAAACCUUCUUCCUCUUUGCUUUUUUAGGACUCUCUAGAUACCCUCCACACCAAACAUGCUGCAGUAUAUGCAAACAUCUUUAACUGUUUAAGGUCACGAUCUCCAGCAGUCUCUAUGUCUGCGUUAUUGUAAUUCAUUUGGGAAGCAAUGAUAUAAAAAAAAUUUUUAAGAGCAGCAAAAUUUGGAAUACAGUUCUGUAAAGUACAGGACCUGUUUUAUGCUCAGGGUAUGGUUGAGAGGGGAUCGAUGAAAGCUUUUUGUUUACUUCUAUUCUUAUACUUUCAUGAUUUUGAUAAAAUGUUGGAAUUGUGCCCAGGAUGAGGCAUUUGUUUUUAAAUACGCCUCUUCAUUUCCAGGGUCCAGGAGGUUAUCUUUCCCAGGGAGUUUCAAGUUGCGGGGGGCGAGGACGGGGGUAUGACCCCUGUACUUAAAGUUGAGUUGGAGAAAGUUGGAUUUAAAUUGGCAAUGCAAAGAUCAGAGGGCAUAAUAGAGUGUUGUGACAAUGAACACGGAUUUUAAAAUGAGAUUGCUUGGGUUCAAGAUGCAUGUGACCUUAGGUGUGUAUUUUAAUCGUUUGCCUCCAUUUCUGUAUCUGUAAAAUGGAACAGAUAAUCACCGUGUAAUACUGUAAUGAUUAGCUGAGUUAAUGUGUGGGGCCAGGUAGUCUUCACAACAAUAUUACAUGGUGAUUACUUUUAUUCUUCUGCUUGGCCAGAAAAGUUAGCUUUUCUUAAAAUUAUUUCAUGGCCCAUUAAUUCAUUUAUGGAAGGAAAAAGAUAGUGUCCGCAACACAUAGGAUAUCCUCCUAAUUGCUUCGGCUUUAGGCAGUAAACCAAAGCAUGAAGCCUGCCAUGGUGAUGUGAAGGAUAUUUGGGCAGCCUGACCAAUAAUGGGGAAGGUGAUAGACACCAAUUUGGGGACCUGGUUUCAUGUUAAGACUCUAUCCUCACAAACUUUGCCUUGUUGUAAAGUCAGUUAUGUUCUGUGAAUCUGUUAAACUGAGAUUAAAAUUACCUUUCCUGUGGAUUUCUUGUGGAGACUAAAUGAAAUAAUAUGUAUAAAAGCACCUUUUACCAACAAGAUAGGUACAUAAAUAUACACUUAUCUAUUAAUAGAUAUCUAUACCCAAUAAUAAAAAAAAAUAUAUCCAUCCAU